CCUACGGGAGGCUGCAGUCGAGAAUCAUUCACAAUGGGGGAAACCCUGAUGGUGCGACGCCGCGUGGGGGAAUGAAGGUCUUCGGAUUGUAAACCCCUGUCAUGUGGGAGCAAAUUAAAAAGAUAGUACCACAAGAGGAAGAGCCGGCUAACUCUGUGCCAGCAGCCGCGGGAAUACAGCGGUCUCAAGCGUUGUUCGGAAUCACUGGGCGUAAAGCGUGCGUAGGCUGUUUCGUAAGUCGUGUGUGAAAGGCGCGGGCUCAACCCGCGGACGGCACAUGAUACUGCGAGACUAGAGUAAUGGAGGGGGAACCGGAAUUCGCGGUGUAGCAGUGAAAUGCGUAGAUAUCGAGAGGAACACUCGUGGCGAAGGCGGGUUCCUGGACAUUAACUGACGCUGAGGCACGAAGGCCAGGGGAGCGAAAGGGAUUAGAUACCCCUGUAGUC
rnacentral:rRNA from 1 species